rnacentral:rRNA from 1 species
GACGACCGCUGGCGGCAGUCCUAACACAUGCAAGUCGAACGCCCCGCAAGGGGAGUGGCAGACGGGUGAGUAACGCGUGGGAACCUUCCCAAUGGUGCGGAAUAGCCCAGGGAAACUUGGAGUAAUACCGCAUAAGCCCUUAGGGGGAAAGAUUUAUCGCCAUUGGAUGGGCCCGCGUCGGAUUAGCUAGUUGGUAGGGUAACGGCCUACCAAGGCGACGAUCCGUAGCUGGUUUGAGAGAAUGACCAGCCACACUGGGACUGAGACACGGCCCAGACUCCUACGGGAGGCAGCAGUGGGGAAUCUUGGACAAUGGGCGAAAGCCUGAUCCAGCCAUGCCGCGUGAGUGACGAAGGCCUUAGGGUUGUAAAGCUCUUUUGCCGGGGACGAUAAUGACGGUACCCGGAGAAUAAGUCCCGGCUAACUUCGUGCCAGCAGCCGCGGUAAUACGAACGGUGCAAGCGUUAAUCGGAAUUCCUGGGCCUCAAGC